AAAUAUUUGAAUGGAUUUGUUGUGUGAAUGCAGGGUUUUAAAGCAGUACAUGAUGUGAUCAGAAUUGUGGCUUGAAGACUGAUUCUCAUUUAAGGGACAGAAGGACUUUUUCUCUCUCCCUUCCUUUCCCACCAACACCCGCCAAGUAAAUAUUCUCAAAUUGUGGUCCAUAGACCAGUUAGAUCAGAGUCACAGGGACAGGGCAGGGGCCUGGGGCUCACUUGUUUAAAAUUCAAAUUCCCAGAGCCACUGUAUUGCAGCACACCUAAUUGAUAUGUAACAUGGAAAGCACAUUUCAUUCAUUUUUAAAUUAUUCCACAAAUAUUUAUGGAGCAUCAUGCUAGGUGUUGCAGACCAUAAAACAUUUAAUUGGGCAUACUAAUCAUGGCAUUUACAGUCUAGAGGGGAAGCUAAGAUACAUGAAACGAUAGUAUAAUGUAGAAAAUACUAAAAGCUAUAAGAGGGGUGCAAAUUAAAUAUGGUUAGAGUUUAGAGGUUGGGGAGAGCCUCAGUGGAUGUAAUCGAGGAAGUGUUUAUGGAUGAUAGGGCAUUAGAAAGGGUUUUCAGUGAUACUGAGUUUGGAAAUAGGGAGUUGGAAGUGAAAGGCAUUCAGAUGGAGAGAACUCUAUGAGUAAAGACAACGGGAAAGUCUAAAGUAUAGUCAGAACAAUGACAGCCUGGGUCUAUAGGAUGUUGGAAGUGGGGAGCUUGGUUAAUAAGUUGGAAAGGUGGACAGGGGCUAGAUCACCAGGGGCAUUGAACGAUGUUAAGGGAAGGAACUGUAAGAUUAAAGUGAGCAAUAAGGAACUAUUUCUUUACUCUUGUAGGUGAAAGUUCUUGAAAACCUUGUCAAUAUCUCCAAGUCCUCUCUCCCAUCCUCCUCCUAACCCGUCUGCAAUCAGGCUUUCACCUCCAGCACCUCAUGGAAACUGCUCUUGUCAAGCACACCGGUGUCUUCCGUGUUGCUAAAUUGCGUGUCAGCUCCAAGUCCAUCGUACAGAACCUACCAGCAGCAUCUGACAGCAACUACAGGUUGACCUGUGGACAGACCACUGUUGUGACGAUACUACAGAAAAUCACGCUCCUCUCCAGGAUCCUUCUGUCCACCACUGCAGAAACCUGUACUGCUCAGACCCCCAUCCCACCCACAGGUUUUAAGGAGAAUAUCCAGGGGUUGAAAGGGAUGCACCAGCAAAUGCUCACAUCGUUCUUCCAUGGCUCCGUUAAACAGGGCAUCCUCCUGCUGCCUGGGAAAACAAGACACCCCUCGCCAUGGAAAGCAUCCCCACCGUUGCCUGUACCCACUCAGACAUCCAAGCUGAUGAAAGGAGAAUAAAGGCCUAGAAAAUUGGAUCUCAGAUGAAGAAACCCAGCUUUCUUCUUACAACAACUUGUGUGGCAGGAUCACUGUGAAGGUCAUGGAAAGAUGAUGGAAUUCAAAGCAGCACUGAGAAGCUGUUCAAAGCAUUUUCAGAGAACGUGUUCUCCAUAUCAGUCCGAGGAUAUCAUCUCUGUUAAACAACUCUAGAAGAUUAAACGAGGCCGAAUCUGUCAAUUAAUGGACAUCCUCCGUUGAGACUUCCAGUUUUCGCUGUGGGACAAAGAGAGUUCCUAUGGAGGUGUUAUUAGCACCGUCGA